GGCCUCUAACCUCUCACCCCUAUAUUAAUUCCGACCCCUUAAGUUUUAAAUAGACUUAACUCCAAAUACUGUAAAGGAACAAAAACCCCCAUUAUAAAACACACUUCUACCUUUGGUAUCAGGGGGGUUUAAUCUACUCCUAAAGUUGGAAUUCCCGAAAUAAGUAGAGCUAUCUAACAGGGCCCUUAUAUGUGAUAAAAUAUACCUUAACUCUUAGAUAGAGGCGAUAUACCAACAAUUCUUAUAUAUCUGGUUAUAGCUUAUGCCGGUCUAGCCAGUCUUUUAUAUUAACUAUUAUGUAAAUAUUAACCCCAAAGGGUAAAACCAAGGGCUUAAAGUAGAAUCUAUUGUCAACAAAGAGUAAAGCUUAGACCUUACCCGCCUCUACGGCCUUACCUCCUCUUAACUUAGGCUUAACUAAAACUACUUAACCUGUCUUAAAAUAAACCCACCAGUAACACUAUUUAUCAAACCAAUGUAAUCGUAUUAUAUUCGCUAACAAUACCGCUAACGAACUCGGCAAACAUCACCCUCGCCUGUUUAACAAAAACACCGUUUACUUAAUUUAUAGUAGAUAGAGUCUGCCCACUGUAAAUUUAUAAAAGGCCGCGGUAUCGCUGACCGUGCUAAGGUAGCAUAAUCACUCGUCUCUUAAUAGAAGACUCGUAUAAACGACCUGACGGAAGGUGAGCUGUCUCAGCUGUAUACCUGAAUCUGACAUAGAGGUAAAAAGGCCUCUGCCGCCAAGGGGACGAUCAGACCCUAAAAACUUUAUCUACUUAAGCCCCGUUAUUCUUCACCUUAAAUGGGAUUAUAUAGAUUUUGCUGGGGCGGCAUUUUUUAACAUAAAAACAAACCCACCUAAAACACCAUGUGUGACUCUAAUAACACAUUCUUAAGACUAAAGACCAGUUACUUUAGGGAUAACAGCGCAACCCCUUCUAGAGCCCCUAUCGACAAGCAGGUAAGCGACCUCGAUGUUGAAUUGAGACUCCCUAUUGAGCAGCCUCAAUAAAGGACAGGACUGUUCGUCCUAAAACCCUCACAUGAUUUGAGUUCAAACCGGCGUAAGCCAGGUUGGUUUCUAUCUCUUGGUAAAAACAUGCCUUAGUUUGUACGAAAGGACUCCUAAGGAGUAGAAAUCUACUACCACUUAGAAUACAAUACUUCCUUCUUUUACU
rnacentral:rRNA from 1 species